GACGAACGCUGGCGGCGUGCCUAAUACAUGCAAGUCGAACGCAGUGGGGACGGGUGCGUAACACGUGGGUAACCUCCCAUCAGAGGGGAUAACCCUUGGAAACAGGUGCUAAACCGAUAUUGAUUGAUGGACUCGCUGGGCAUUAGCGAGUUGGUGGGGUAACGGCUCACCAAGGCCACGAUGCAUAGCCGAUCUGAGAGGGUGAUCAGCCACACUGGAACUGAGACACGGCCCAGACUCCUACGGGAGGCAGCAGUAGGGAAUCUUGGGCAAUGGACGAAAGUCUGACCGAGCAACGCCGCGUGUGUGAAGAAGGUUUUCGGAUUGUAAAACACUGUUAUUAGAGAAGCGUUAUCUAACCAGAAAGCAACGGCUAACUACGUGCCAGCAGCCGCGGUAAUAC
rnacentral:rRNA from 1 species